rnacentral:rRNA from 1 species
AACGAACGCUGGCGGCAGGCCUAACACAUGCAAGUCGAACGCCCUAGCAAUAGGGAGUGGCAGACGGGUGAGUAACACGUGGGAACGUGCCUUUCGGUUCGGAAUAACCCAGGGAAACUUGGACUAAUACCGGAUACGUGCGAGAGCAGAAAGAUUUAUCGCCGAAAGAUCGGCCCGCGUCCGAUUAGUUAGUUGGUGAGGUAAUGGCUCACCAAGGCGACGAUCGGUAGCUGGUCUGAGAGGAUGAUCAGCCACACUGGGACUGAGACACGGCCCAGACUCCUACGGGAGGCAGCAGUGGGGAAUCUUGCGCAAUGCGCGAAAGCGUGACGCAGCAACACCGCGUGA